UGCUGGGAUAGAUGGUGUUAGUUAGGGCAGGGGUAGCCACUGGUCUGCUGCCCUGUACUGCAGGGAGAAGGAACACCAGGAGAGAAUAACCAAACCACAAACCCAAAGCCAUUCCACCGGACUGCUUUGCUUUUUUCUUCAUCAACAAGAAAAGAAUUCAGAUCUGAAACUUCUGACAGCUUAACAUGCAAACAUCAUAUUUUAGGGCUAUUUUCACAGCAAAGAAAAUGUUUCAAAGACUUAUCCGGUAUUUACACAUCCUUAUUUUAUAAAGAAUAGCUCACAGAUGUCAAGAAAGGGGGAGUGAAGGGUUUACAUUGCAGGGGAAAUAUACCAUGAGAUUGGAACCCUGAUACGAUCAUGUCUGUGUAGCCCCAACACAGACACAAAGAGACUGUGGUCAAGUCUGUCACUCAUUACAGUACUGUGAACGUAACAGAGGUUGCUGGGUGGGAAACACUGACAGCAGGCUGAGCAACUCUGGCUUCCAUAGUACGUGCUGUAAUAAUGCCUAGACCAGAGCGAUGCAGGCGCUAUGACUUUCCAUGGUCCAACUCUAUACAGGAAUUGUAACAACAGAGAAAGUGUGAAAGAAAGCCUUCCAGUGUCCCACGACUCACCACACCACCAGCUCAGUACAGGCAAGGGAAUCAGAGAUCAGGGAUAGCAGACAUGGAAGAGAACAGCCCUCUUUCUCAGCUCAUAAUUAGGAAUGGUACCCUACACAAUGACUGAAAACAAAGAAAUGUAAAAGGAGAGGAUGAACUCUCAGGUCAGCAGAGUGUGGCAUGGUUUCCUGAGCUUGAAAGGGUUCUGAGUUCAGAGAAUACUGGAGCCUGUGAGCUUCCACAGCUGCCUUAGAUUAACACUGCAUGGCCAGUAUCAAGAAUCCUGCACCAUAACGAUAGACAGGCAUGGCAGACCCCGCCCCCAAUUUUGCUUGGCAAUCAGACCUGCCCGAGGGUGGGGUCUGAGAGGUCCCUCUCGCCCUAACUCUGCUGACCUGGCGAGAGCCUUCUCUUCUUCUUUUCUUCCCUUCCCAGACAUGGGGAAUCCAUGGACACAGAAACUUGAAUACAUAAGGACACAAACAGGCUUCUUUCCCUGCCUUCCCCCUUUCAGAAAAUGCAUAGUUACAAAUUCAGGAUAUAAAAUGGAGGAAGGAUGACCACAUUUGGACUUUUUUUUUUUUUUUUUUUUUUGGAAAAAAACAAAACAAAACCACCCCCCCCCAAAACAAAUCCAACAACCUCUAGUUAAAUUCACAUUUGCAUAAUAAUACAUCCCAAGGCAAUGAGAGGAGUGAGUGAGGCCUCCCUUUGUCUUCCCUAAUGAAGCUGAAGGAAUCUAGGGAGCACUUUCCUGGGGGGGGCACUAAGGAUGGUGGACAGGGUCCUUGGCAUUCACUGGACGCUUCUUUAGAAGACUGGGGGUAGCAGAGGAGGUGGGGUCAUUGAAAACAAACAUGAAACAUGAAAAGAUUAUAGAUUUUCAAGUUUAACUACAACAGUUCUCAAAAACUACAAUGGGAUUUCAGAGGUUUCUUCUUUUUUAAACACCAGUUUCAAUUCUUUCAAAACCUUUCCUUUGUGUGCAAUAAAUACCCUGUUCACAGAAAUAGCAACAUUGAUGUGACUUGCAUUUGGGAAAUCAUGACCUUCUAAGGCAGAGAGGGUUUAAAGAAAAAAAAAAAAAAA
rnacentral:lncRNA from 1 species